rnacentral:rRNA from 1 species
AUUGAACGCUGGCGGCAUGCCUUACACAUGCAAGUCGAACGGCAGCACGGGAGCAAUCCUGGUGGCGAGUGGCGAACGGGUGAGUAAUGUAUCGGAACGUACCUUUCAGUGGGGGAUAACGUAGCGAAAGUUACGCUAAUACCGCAUAUUCUGUGAGCAGGAAAGCAGGGGAUCGCAAGACCUUGCGCUGAUUGAGCGGCCGAUAUCAGAUUAGCUAGUUGGUGAGGUAAAGGCUCACCAAGGCGACGAUCUGUAGCGGGUCUGAGAGGAUGAUCCGCCACACUGGAACCGAGACACGGUCCAGACUCCUACGGAGGCAGCAGUGGGGAAUUUUGGACAAUGGGCGCAAGCCUGAUCCAGCCAUGCCGCGUGAGUGAAGAAGGCCUCGGGUUGU